CGUCUCGAGUGCAGGCCCAGUCCACUGUAGAUGCGCUUCCGGCGGAGCCGAGGCCGGAAGCGGAAGAAGGGGACGCAGACCUGCAUCCAAGCUGUGCCACCUGAGACGUGGGCGGUCCCAGUGACCGGGAGCCGGAGCUCGAACGGGACGGGCGAACAGGAGCGCGGAGGGCUUCGCAGCGUCGGCGUCUGUGCGUGGGCCAAACAUCAGGGCCUCGACCAGGGAUACAAGGGCACCCACUAACUAGAUUCCUGAUUCCUGAUGGCUGGCGGCGGCUGACACCGAAGGUAAAAGACCUUUUGGGGAAAGAAACCAGUUGUGAAAAGCUCUUGGGCUAAACUCGCUCUGCAAACUGGGGGCGCACGCUCGUGGCCAAACUCUGGCAGUGGGACUAUCCCGGAGCACCCGAUCCCUGGAAUCAUGUUCUGGAAACCACCGCGACGUGCGCAGUUCUCGGGCCUGGCCCUGGUAUCAUCCCACUGAAUCCUAGGAACGCGGUGCGUGCCCGUGGGAGAGCAAGAUCGCGAGGCACGAGCUGUGAGGGCACACCGCCUCUCUUGGUCCUCCGAAGCAAAGACACUGAUGCUCCCAGAAGCUGCGGAAGGACCUGGUUGGUACCAUCCCCUGCCCCCCGUUCUGCCCUCCCAAAUGCUGGGGUCUGGGAUACUCACCUCAAGUGCCUCUUUGGUAAUAGGGUAUUUCUCCAGGCUGGAGAUGACUUCCAGCACCGCCACCAUGUUCCGGAUCUGUGGAAAUAAAAAGCCAUUUGUCAGGUCCCUGUCCUUCUCCACUGGGAGGCUGGAACACCCUGCCCCAGCCUGCUCCAGUCUCUCCCCAACCCCAGAGCAAGAGGAGCCGGCAGCACUGAAGCCCCCACUCCAUGUCGUCUCCUACCUGCUCCCUGGGGCAACCUGGCACCCAGUGCUCAUCCUCACCUGCCGUCUGACCUCCUCCAGUGUGUGGUGUGCGGGCUGCCCCAAGCCCUCCAGUGUACAUGGUACAUACCCACCCACCUGCUGAAACCCAGGAUGCCUGUGAAACAAGAGCUGCUCCUGAUACUUAAGAUGACCUCUACUCUGCCAUCUGAUGGGAGUGGGAGAGGAGACACCGAAGAAUUCAUCGAAUAAAAUCCACAAAGCUUAGAAGAUCAAUACACAGGCCAGGCGCGGUGGCUGACGCCUGUAAUCCCAGCACUUUGGGAGGCUGACGAAGGCGGAU
rnacentral:lncRNA from 1 species